rnacentral:rRNA from 1 species
GACGAACGCUGGCGGCGUGCUUAACACAUGCAAGUCUACGAGAAUAAGGUAGCAAUAUCUUUAGUAAAGUGGCGCACGGGUGAGUAACACGUAAGUAACCUACCUUUAGAUUUGGAAUAACUUCGAGAAAUCGGGGCUAAUACCGAAUAAUGCAGCGGCACCGCAUGGUGAUGUUGUUAAAGUUUCGAUGUCUAGGGAUGAGCUUGCGUCUGAUUAGCUAGUUGGUGAGGUAACGGCUCACCAAGGCUGCGAUCAGUAGCUGGUCUGAGAGGAUGAUCAGCCACACUGGAACUGAGACACGGUCCAGACUCCUACGGGAGGCUG